rnacentral:rRNA from 1 species
CGGCAACAGCUCAAAUUUGAAAUCUGGCUUCGGCCCGAGUUGUAAUUUGCAGAGGAUGCUUCGGGCGCGGUGCCUACUGAGUUCCCUGGAACGGGACGCCGUAGAGGGUGAGAGCCCCGUACGGUAGGACGCCUAGCCUGUGUGAAGCUCCUUCGAC